rnacentral:rRNA from 1 species
UACAGAGGGUGCAAGCGUUAAUCGGAAUUACUGGGCGUAAAGGGUGCGUAGGCGGCGCGGUAAGUCGGGUGUGAAAUCUCGGAGCUUAACUCCGAAACUGCAUUCGAUACUGCCGUGCUUGAGGACUGGAGAGGAGACUGGAAUUUACGGUGUAGCGGUGAAAUGCGUAGAUAUCGUAAGGAAGACCAGUGGCGAAGGCGGGUCUCUGGACAGUUCCUGACGCUGAGGCACGAAGGUCAGGGGAGCAAACGGG